GAUGAACGCUAGCGGCAGGCUUAACACAUGCAAGUCGAGGGGUAUAAGUCUUCGGAUUUAGAGACCGGCGCACGGGUGCGUAACGCGUAUGCAAUCUACCUUUCACAGAGGGAUAGCCCAGAGAAAUUUGGAUUAAUACCUCAUAGUAUAACACAACCGCAUGGUUGAGUUAUUAAAGUCACAACGGUGAAAGAUGAGCAUGCGUCCCAUUAGCUAGUUGGUAAGGUAACGGCUUACCAAGGCGACGAUGGGUAGGGGUCCCUGAGAGGGAGAUCCCCCCACACUGGUACGUGAGACACGGACCAGACACCUACCGGGUGGCAG
rnacentral:rRNA from 1 species